rnacentral:tRNA from 1 species
GCCGCCUUAGCUCAGCUGGUUAGAGCACCUCUUUUGUAAAGAGGGGGUCUUCAGUUCAAAUCUGAAAGGCGGCUCCA